rnacentral:rRNA from 1 species
GAUGAACGCUGGCGGCGUGCUUAACACAUGCAAGUCGAACGGAAAGGCUCCAGCUUGCUGGAGUACUCGAGUGGCGAACGGGUGAGUAACACGUGGGUGAUCUGCCCUGCACUUCGGGAUAAGCCUGGGAAACUGGGUCUAAUACCGGAUAGGACCGCACUUUGGUGUGUGUGGUGGAAAGGUUUUUCUGGUGUGGGAUGAGCUCGCGGCCUAUCAGUUUGUUGGUGGGGUAAUGGCCUACCAAGACGGCGACGGGUAGCCGGCCUGAGAGGGUGGACGGUCACAUUGGGACUGAGAUACGGCCCAGAAUCCUACGGGAGGCAGCAGUGGGGAAUAUUGCACAAUGGGGGAAACCCUGAUGCAGCGACGCCGCGUGGGGGAUGAAGGCCUUCGGGUUGUAAACUCCUUUCGCUAGGGACGAAGCUUUUUGUGACGGUACCUGGAGAAGAAGCACCGGCUAACUACGUG